ACGUACGCUGGCGGCACGCCUAACACAUGCAAGUCGAACGAAGUAGCAAUACUUAGUGGCAGACGGGUGAGUAACAUGUAGGUAUCUGCCCUUUGGCCUGGAAUAACACGAGGAAACUUGUGCUAAUACCGGAUAAGUCUUUACGGAGAAAGCUUUAUGCACCAUUGGAUGAGCCUGCACUUGAUUAGUUUGUUGGUGGGGUAAUGGCCUACCAAGACUGUGAUCAAUAGCUGAUUUGAGAGGAUGAUCAGCCACAUUGGGACUGAGACACGGCCCAAACUCCUACGGGAGGCAGCAGUGGGGAAUCUUGCACAAUGGAGGAAACUCUGAUGCAGCGAUGCCGCGUGAGUGAAGAAGGCCCUUGGGUUGUAAAGCUCUUUCGUCGGGGAAGAAAAUGACUGUACCCGAAUAAGAAGGUCCGGCUAACUUCGUGCCAGCAGCCGCGGUAAUACGAAGGGACCUAGCGUAGUUCGGAAUUACUGGGCUUAAAGAGUUCGUAGGUGGUUGAAAAAGUUAGUGGUGAAAUCCCAGAGCUUAACUCUGGAACUGCCAUUAAAACUUUUCAGCUAGAGUAUGAUAGAGGAAAGCAGAAUUUCUAGUGUAGAGGUGA
rnacentral:rRNA from 1 species